GUCCACGCCCUAAACGAUGGGCACUAGGUGUGGGAGGUAUCGACCCCUCCCGUGCCGCAGCUAACGCAUUAAGUGCCCCGCCUGGGGAGUACGGUCGCAAGAUUAAAACUCAAAGGAAUUGACGGGGGCCCGCACAAGCGGUGGAGCAUGUGGUUUAAUUCGACGCAACGCUAAGAACCUUACCUGGGCUUGACAUCCCUGGAACCCCUGUGAAAACAGGGGGUGCCUAGAAAUAGGAGCCAGGAGACAGGUGCUGCAUGGCUGUCGU
rnacentral:rRNA from 1 species